rnacentral:lncRNA from 1 species
ACUGUGAUUUAGCCUGACUAGAGCAGUCAAGUUGACACAAUGUGUCUCAAAGGAGAGCUAUGCAUAAUUAGGUACCUCUAAAUUUAGAAAGAUCACUUUAACAGAUCAUUUUACACCAGAAUUAUAGAAAUUUACCUUCUAUCUCUGAACUAUUUUCUAUCUCUUUACUUUUGCUCUGUCAGUUCAUCCACAUGGAAAGAUCUCCUGCCCUCCAUUUGGUAUUUUAGGGUACAGCUUAGAUUUUGCUACCAACACGUCUGUGGAGGGAAAUGGUCUUGCCCUCCUUUGGACUCCACUAAUAUUCAUCCUCUAUGUUACUCACCUGUGACAGUACAUCAUCUAUGUUUGCAUGGUUUUUUUCAGCGAUGUUCUAAACUCUGACUCGAGCCUUCCAUUAUUAACUUUGUAAAGCCUUGUCACUUAUCUCACUAACUGAAGUCUUAAGUAUCCUGAAGGUAUCAACCACGUCUGACAGUAGUAAUGAACAUUUUUAUUUAUGUAUUUAUUAUUUUAUUAUAUCUUUUACUUAUGUAUUUAUUAUUUGUAAUGAUUUGUUAUUAUUCACUGCAGAUAUUCAUUUAACACUUAGUUUUUAAAGAACUGGUCCAGGAAGAAAAAAAAAAAAAAAAAACAGGUGUCUGGUAGAGAAUAAAAAUGAAGAUAAAAUAUCUUUCUAUUUCACAGCAGACCAAUGGGAAAAAAUAACAAUAACAAGGGGCAUCUGGGAGGCUCAGUCAGUUAAGUGUCUGCCUUCACCUCAAGUCAUGAUCUCAAAGUCCUGGAAUUGAGCCCUGUGUGGGGCUCCCUCCUCAUUGGAGAGUCUAUUUCUCCCUCUGCCCCUCCCCCUGUUCCUGCUAUCUCUUUCUUCUCUCAAAUAGUCUUUUUAAAAAAUAACAGUAACAAUAAUACACUUCCAUGUUAGAGGUAGCAACAAUAAUAAUUUGUAUUAAGUAGUUUACAGUCUGAUGCAGAAAUCUUGGGGAUGGGAUGCCUGGGUGGCUCCGUGGUUGAGCGUCUGCCUCUGGCUCAGGAUGUGAUCCCCGGGGUCCCAGGAUGAGUCCCACAUCAGCCUCCCGAGAGAGAGCCUGCUUCUCCCUCUGCCUAUUUCUCUGCCCCCCUCUCUAUGUCUCUCAUGAAUAAAUAAAUAAAUAAAUAAAAUCUUUAAAAAAAAAAAGACAUCUUGGGGACAAUCUUACAUUUCUGUAUGCCAAAAUAUUUAAAAGUAUGUAUUCUGACUACCUUCUCUACUAAUAUUUACUUGUGCUGCUAGCCCCACCAAUUAAUAUUUAACUCAGGAAAGAGAGAAGUGGAAAAAAUUCCAAAAUUUUAUUUGACCAAGUUUGCCUGAAAGUGACUCAAUCGUUUCUUACCUUGUAUAGACUGAUGCCAUGACAUAAAAAUAAAUUUAGUUGUAAGAAAACUUUAAAUUUAUGCAUGGUUGAGUUUACCAAUUAUAAAUAAUAUGCACUUCACAUAACAAAUAGUGAGGUGCAGUGAAAGUUGCAAAUCAUCAGUAUAUGUCAAAGUAAGUGUUGUGACAUUAUAUUUUUAAGAUUAACAAAAGGUAUAGAUGAUCUCAACAUGGAAUGAGUGGCAAGCAUUAGUGAACAGGAGACAGGGUAAGUUAUUUUCUUUUUUGGAAAUUGUGUAUAUAUACUGAUUAACCUUGAAUAUUCAUUAAAAAUCUAUGUUUAAUAAUUUAGUGAUGACUCAGAAAAAUACAAAUUAUUUGUAUAAAUUCUAAAUUAUUCAAACAAAAAGAAAUGUUACCUCAAAAUUC